rnacentral:rRNA from 1 species
CAGUAGCCGCGGUAAUACAGAGGGUGCGAGCGUUAAUCGGAUUUACUGGGCGUAAAGCGUGCGUAGGCGGCUUUUUAAGUCGGAUGUGAAAUCCCUGAGCUUAACUUAGGAAUUGCAUUCGAUACUGGGAAGCUAGAGUAUGGGAGAGGAUGGUAGAAUUCCAGGUGUAGCGGUGAAAUGCGUAGAGAUCUGGAGGAAUACCGAUGGCGAAGGCAGCCAUCUGGCCUAAUAAUGAAGCUGAGGUACGAAAGCAUGGGGAGCAAACAGGAUUAGAUACCCCCGUAGUCCCUGUCUCUUAUAC